rnacentral:rRNA from 1 species
AUUGAACGCUGGCGGCAUGCUUUACACAUGCAAGUCGAACGGUAACAGGCCGCAAGGUGCUGACGAGUGGCGAACGGGUGCGUAAUGCAUCGGAACGUGCCCAGUCGUUGGGGAUAACUACUCGAAAGAGUAGCUAAUACCGCAUACGAUCUAUGGAUGAAAGCGGGGGACCGUAAGGCCUCGCGCGAUUGGAGCGGCCGAUGUCAGAUUAGGUAGUUGGUGGGGUAAAGGCUCACCAAGCCAACGAUCUGUAGCUGGUCUGAGAGGACGACCAGCCACACUGGGACUGAGACACGGCCCAGACUCCUACGGGAGGCAGCAGUGGGGAAUUUUGGACAAUGGGCGCAAGCCUGAUCCAGCAAUGCCGCGUGCAGGAAGAAGGCCUUCGGGUUGUAAACUGCUUUUGUACGGAACGAAACGGCUCUGGUUAAUACCCGGGGCUAAUGACGGUACCGUAAGAAUAAGCACCGGCUAACUACGUG